rnacentral:misc_RNA from 1 species
AUGAAGUCAGUGGCUACAGGAACCCUCAGUCGGUGAACGUAGACUCAGGGAAUGAAUCUGAUAGUGCAUAGAUAGUAAUAAUAUUUUCUCAAUUUUAAGGCUUAGGGAAUUAAUCCUGGCCUUCUCUGUUAAAAACUAUUAGUGUAUUUUAGAUUUUAUGUCGAUGGAUGGUAGAAUUUCUGACAUAUUUCGCUUGUUUAUUUAUAUGGAUCUGUUUCUGAUUGGUAUGAUGGC